UUUAGGCCCGCGGGCAUAGCCCGUUAUGUAGCUUAGCGGAUCGGGCAUGGGCUCUUAAUUUGAUGCCCAAAAAGUGGCGGGUCACGCGGACUCAGCCCGUUUGGUUUGCGGGUCAAGCGGAUUGUGACCGCUGAUGACCGCGGGGUAAACGGGCGGUCUGCAAUUGUCACAGUUCCAUCACUGAUUCACUUCUAUGCCAGUUCACAAGCGAUGGUGCGGCACAGGGGAGGAGAUUCGGGCUAGAUUCGGGGUCAAAUCCGAAGAAGACGAAAAAGGUACAAACACUUUCUCUCUCGCUGAUCGUGUUUGUCUCUCAAUUUCAAUCUUCUGGGCUCAUUUCUGAUUUGUCUCUUCCCUAAAUCCCUUGUUAGUUGUUACAACAACUACUACAAAAUUAGGGCUUUAACGAGGAAGAACAUCACUUUGAAUCUUAAGGUUGUUUCAAGAUCAAAAGUAUGGAUCUUAAUUUAGAUGAGAAUGAGAUUCUAAAGGCUCGAAUCAAACAACUUGAACUUGGUACGUUUUCUCAAUUUCUCAACUGUAGUUUCUUUUUGUGUAUUUCUCUUGGUGGUACUAGUUAUUUAGACCUUGGACAUGUUUCUAGGCUUGUAGAAAUGGUUUUUUAGUCUUACGUUUUUGCUUCUCUGCAGCCUUCUUCAAGUGUAUUCUGCUGCAUUUUGCCUUCUCUGAUGCAAAAGAUUAUUUUUCUCUUUUAGUUAUUUACUUGUGUUUUCUUCUAAUAAACUUGAUAUUGAGUUAGUUUAUAGCAAAUGGUGUAUGACGACAUCAUCACUUGUUACACUUUCAGAAAUUCUUCCCUUUCUCUUUUGGGUUAUGCACUUAAUUUGACCUUGGCUACUCUGUGCGUUAUGCUUUUGUGAAGAUAUUAUCUAUCAUGGUUUUUUGAGACUCCAUUUUACUUCUGCAUCUUGAUUACCUGAUAUAUGUUGAGUCUGACCACUAGUAUUUCUUAUAACUAGAGCGUAGUGAACUAUAGAAAGAUAUUGAACAGUUGUGCAUGCAACAAGGUGGACCUAGAAUUCUUGGUGUGGCUACUCGGAUGCAUUUCCAGAGGACAGCUAGCUUGGAGCAGGAGUUAGAGAGCUUAAAACUGAAGUUGGCUGCUUGCACAAGAGAGAAAAACAAUAUUUAAGAGGAACUUGCAGAAUCUUAUCGUAUGAAAGUGAUUAUCUUUCUAAAGAAGAGAUGCCCGCGGGCAUGCCCGUUAGUCCGCAAAGCUAGGCGGAGCGGGCAUGGGCAGUGAUACUUUGCCCGCCGCCCGUGGCGGACCUGUCCGCAGCGGAUCACUGAAAAUACGGGACCGUCACGGUCAGCCCGUUCGGGCGCGGGCAUGCCCGUUUGACACCCCUAGCUGGACAUUAUUCAACUGUGGUACCCUUUACUCCAAGCUU